GACGAACGCUGGCGGCGUGCUUUACACAUGCAAGUUGAACGGAACUUAAAGGGCUUGCCUUUUAAGUUUAGUAGCGGACGGGUGAGUAACACGUGAGCAACCUACCAUAUUCAGGGGGAUAACACAUAGAAAUGUGUGCUAAUACCGCAUGAUGUUACGAGAAGGCAUCUUCUUGUAACCAAAGCUCCGGCGGAAUAUGAUGGGCUCGCGGCCUAUUAGGUAGUUGGUGAGGUAAUGGCUCACCAAGCCGACGAUAGGUAGCCGACCUGAGAGGGUGAUCGGCCACACUGGAACUGAGACACGGUCCAGACUCCUACGGGAGGCAGCAGUGGGGAAUAUUGGGCAAUGGAGGCAACUCUGACCCAGCAACGCCGCGUGAGCGAUGAAGGUCUUCGGAUUGUAAAGCUCUGUUUCGAGGGACGAAAAAAAUGACGGUACCUCGGGAGGAAGCUCCGGCUAAAUACGUGCCAGCAGCCGCGGUAAUACGUAUGGAGCAAGCGUUGUCCGGAAUGACUGGGCGUAAAGGGUGCGUAGGUGGUUAGCAUAAGUCAGUAGUGAAAUUCCGAGGCUCAACUUCGGCGCUACUACUGAUACUAUCUAACUAGAGUGCAGGAGAGGUAAGUGGAAUUCCUAGUGUAGCGGUGGAAUGCGUAGAUAUUAGGAGGAACAUCAGUGGCGAAGGCGACUUACUGGACUGUAACUGACACUGAGGCACGAAAGCGUGGGUAGCAAACAGGAUUAGAUACCCUGGUAGUCCACGCCGUAAACGAUGGAUACUAGAUAUGGGGGGGUAUCGACUCCCUCUGUGUCGCAGCUAACGCAAUAAGUAUCCCGCCUGGGGAGUACGGCCGCAAGGUUGAAACUCAAAGAAAUUGACGGGGACCCGCACAAGCAGCGGAGCAUGUGGUUUAAUUCGACGCAACGCGAAAAACCUUACCAGUACUUGACAUCGUAUGACGUCCCUAGAGAUAGGGAGUUCCUUCGGGACAUACAGACAGGUGGUGCAUGGUUGUCGUCAGCUCGUGUCGUGAGAUGUUGGGUUAAGUCCCGCAACGAGCGCAACCCUUAUCAUUAGUUGCCAAUAUUAAGUUAGGAACUCUAGUGAGACUGCCGUGGAUAACACGGAGGAAGGUGGGGAUGACGUCAAAUCAUCACGCCCCUUACGUUCUGGGCUACACACGUGCUACAAUGGCUAUUACAAAGAGCAGCAGUAAUGCAAGCAAAACCGCAAGGUCAAGCAAAUCUCAUAAAGAUAGUCUCAGUUCAGAUUGUGGGCUGCAACUCGCCCACAUGAAGUUGGAGUUGCUAGUAAUCCCGAAUCAGCAUGUCGGGGUGAAUGCGUUCCCGGGUCUUGUACACACCGCCCGUCACGCCAUGGGAGUUGGGAGUACCCGAAGCCAGUGACCUAACCGCAAGGAAGGAGCUGUCGAAGGUAAGAUCAAUGACUGGGGUG
rnacentral:rRNA from 1 species